GGAGUUAGCCGGUGCUUCUUCUGCGAGUAACGUCACAGAUGUAAGGUAUUAACUUACACCCUUUCCUCCUCGCUGAAAGUGCUUUACAACCCGAAGGCCUUCUUCACACACGCGGCAUGGCUGCAUCAGGGUUUCCCCCAUUGUGCAAUAUUCCCCACUGCUGCCUCCCGUAGGAGUCUGGGCCGUGUCUCAGUCCCAGUGUGGCUGAUCAUCCUCUCAGACCAGCUAGGGAUCGUCGCCUAGGUGAGCCUUUACCUCACCUACUAGCUAAUCCCACCUGGGCUUAUCCAUCAGCGCAAGGCCCGAAGGUCCCCUGCUUUCCCCCGUAGGGCGUAUGCGGUAUUAGCAGUCGUUUCCAACUGUUAUCCCCCACAAAUGGGCAAAUUCCCAGGCAUUACUCACCCGUCCGCCGCUCGUCAUCUUCAAAAGCAAGCUUUUGAAAUGUUACCGCUCGACUUGCAUGUGUUAGGCCUGCCGCCACGCGUCAUCUGAACCAACGAUACAACUACUCGA
rnacentral:rRNA from 1 species